GUUGUAUACCGAAGCUGAUGAGCUGAUCCGACUUCUUUGAGUCCUCGAUGUCUAAAGGUAUAUAAAAUUGUUCGCAAACUUGAUGAAAAUGUUGUGAUAAAGAUGGAGCGUGGUAUUGUGGGCGAUGUUGACUAUCCCUUACAACUUGACCCGUUGGAGAUUAUGCGUUUCUUAAGGAUGGAGACAUUAGAUGUUUCCAUAUUGCAGUUCUUUAUAAGGGGUCUUUAUGACAAAUUUGAUUUGGCAUCACAGACCACAUA